rnacentral:rRNA from 13 species
CACCGCGGUUAUACGAGAGACCCAAGAUGACAGAUACCGGCGUAAAGAGUGGUUAGGUGAAUGAAUAACUAGAGCUCAACACCCUCCAGGCUGUUAUACGCACCUGAGGAAAUGAAAGCCUAACACGAAAGUAGCUUUAAAAAACUGAACCCACGAAAACCGUGAAA